rnacentral:ribozyme from 13 species
AUAGAGAGAUAGAGAGAUAGAUAGAGAGAGGGAGAUAGUUAGAUUUUGAUGGAUUCAGGAAAAUAGGAGAGAAGAGUUUUUACCGAUGAUUUUGAUUUCCUUUUCUUAUCUUUCUUCUUUUUCUUUUUCUUCUUACUAGAACUUUUGAUAUCUGAAUCAACAUCAUUGAGUAUGGU